GACGAACGCUGGCGGCGUGGAUUAGGCAUGCAAGUCGAACGGUAUCAUCCUUUCGGGGGUGAGAGAGUGGCGAACUGGUGAGUAACACGUAGGUUAUCUACCCUCAAGACGGGGACAACCCAGGGAAACUUGGGCUAAUACCGGAUGUGAGCAACUUUUAGUUGUUUGAAAGGUGGCGUAAGCUGUCGCUUGGGGAUGAGCCUGCGUCCUAUUAGUUAGUUGGUGAGGUAACGGCUCACCUAGGCAAUGAUAGGUAGGCGGCCUUAACGGGUGGUCGCCCACACUGGGAUUGAGAUACGGCCCAGACUCCUACGGGAGGCAGCAGUCCGAGAAUAGUCUACAAUGGUCGGAAGACUGAUAGUGCGACGCCGCGUGAACGAUGAAUCCCUUCGGGGUGUAAAGUUCUUUUAUAUGUGAGCAGUGCUUCUUAUAUUAACAGUAUGGGGAGAGAGAUAUUAGCAUAUGAAUAAGCAACGGCUAACUCCGUGCCAGCAGCCGCGGUAAACU
rnacentral:rRNA from 1 species